AACAUCGCGCACCUGCGGGAACCUGCGGAGGGAUCAUUAACACGUAUCCAAUAUACACCUUAUUCACCCCUUUAGUGUCAACUUGUACUGUUAAAUAUCAAAGUCUCUACGCACUGCGCUUCUUUCUUAUGAAUGAAAGUUGUUUGGUUUGGCUCACGCAGUCCGCGGCUUUGAGGGAACCUUUUUAAUAAAGGCUCUCUUUUUAGUGAUAAUCUCAGAGCAAAAUGAAACACCAUUCUA
rnacentral:misc_RNA from 1 species